AUUUUGAAUUUGUCACUGUCGCGGUUUGUUGGCAGUAAGUGGCUGACAGCUCUCUGCUCCGGCUAUCCCCGUGGUUGCCAAUGAGACACGGAGCGGCACUCGAAACAAAUUGCCACAUCCAGGAUGCCUCGUCUGAGGGCGUGGAACGACUCGUCUGGUUCGUGCACCUUGGCAACCGCAGCAAUAACCUCGACUUUGCCGCAUAAAUCUUCAUCAGUCAAAGUAAGAAGAACAACAGCGAAACCACUGCCACUUCCACUGCCGCUGACACUGUAUCUCCUCUGCAGUAGCAGCUACAGCAUUUUCAGAAACGCCUGAGCUUCCUGGUUCUACUUCUGUCUCCGCUUCUGCUCAGUGAUUUAUAAUGAAAAGUUGCCAGUCGCGUCGCCGGUUUCAGUGCUAACGAAAUGCAAACAUGCAUACUAAUUACAUUUAAAACCGUCGGCUAAGCCAAGUUAAGCACGAGAAUAAAUCCUUUUCAGCUCAGCCAGGAGCAGGAGGAGCAGGAGCCGGAGCGAGAUAUGAAAAAAAAUGAUUACAAGUGUAGGAUGUGUAAAGGGAUCUGAUCUCCUCUCCGCUGGUGCCUCAUCCCUGGAAAUUAUUUGUAAAUGCUGUUUAAGGCCGCCGCUGAGAGGCUUUUCUUUCCCCUCUCGACUUUUCCGCAGCUCGUGCUUAUUAUUUGCAUAUUUAUGCUGGAGCAGGGAGCAAAGCGCAUAGAGAUGGAAAUGUUUGGGUCUAAGAGGCAGCGAAACUGUGGUUACUCUUUGUGUGGCUUUGGGUGUGUCCGUGCCCGUGCUGGAUGUGUUGGGACAUGUGCUCUCCCACUCCCUGCCAUAAUCAAUCGCACUUGGAAUGGAACAAUCUAUGCUAAUUCUUUGUUUGUAACAAAAAACAAAAAAGAGAAAAUAAAAUGAGUUAUUUCCUACUGCCA